CCCGACUCCGUGAAGCUGGAUUCGCUAGUAAUCGCGCAUCAGCCAUGGCGCGGUGAAUACGUUCCCGGGCCUUGUACACACCGCCCGUCAAGCCAUGGGAGCCGGGGGUGCUUGAAGUGCGUCGCCGCGAGGCGCGCCCUAGAGCAAAACCGGUGACUGGGGCUAAGUCGUAACAAGGUAGCCGUACCGGAAGGUGCGGCUGGAACACCUCCUUUCUGGAG
rnacentral:rRNA from 1 species